AUUAAUAAUUACAACUUUUAACAACGGAUCUCUUGGUUCUGGCAUCGAUGAAGAACGCAGCGAAAUGCGAUAAGUAGUGUGAAUUGCAGAAUUCAGUGAAUCAUCGAAUCUUUGAACGCACAUUGCGCCCUUUGGUAUUCCAAAGGGCAUGCCUGUUCGAGCGUCAUUUGUACCCUCAAGCUUUGCUUGGUGUUGGGCGUCUUGUCUCCAGUUCGCUGGAGACUCGCCUUAAAGUCAUUGGCAGCCGGCCUACUGGUUUCGGAGCGCAGCACAAGUCGCGCUCUCUUUCCAGCCAAGGUCAGCAUCCACAAAGCCUUUUUUCAACUUUUGACCUCGGAUCAGGUAGGGAUACCCGCUGAACUUAAGCAUAUCAAUAAGCGGAGGAAAAGAAACCAACAGGGAUUGCCCUAGUAACGGCGAGUGAAGCGGCAACAGCUCAAAUUUGAAAUCUGGCUCUUUUAGAGUCCGAGUUGUAAUUUGCAGAGGGCGCUUUGGCUUUGGCAGCGGUCCAAGUUCCUUGGAACAGGACGUCACAGAGGGUGAGAAUCCCGUACGUGGUCGCUGGCUAUUGCCGUGUAAAGCCCCUUCGACGAGUCGAGUUGUUUGGGAAUGCAGCUCUAAAUGGGAGGUACAUUUCUUCUAAAGCUAAAUAUUGGCCAGAGACCGAUAGCGCACAAGUAGAGUGAUCGAAAGAUGAAAAGCACUUUGGAAAGAGAGUCAAACAGCACGUGAAAUUGUUAAAAGGGAAGCGCUUGCAGCCAGACUUGCUUACAGUUGCUCAUCCGGGCUUUUGCCCGGUGCACUCUUCUGUAGGCAGGCCAGCAUCAGUUUGGGCGGUAGGAUAAAGGUCUCUGUCACGUACCUCCUUUCGGGGAGGCCUUAUAGGGGAGACGACAUACUACCAGCCUGGACUGAGGUCCGCGCAUCUGCUAGGA
rnacentral:rRNA from 1 species